CAUGAAGAUAAUAGCUACCUGUCCUCAGAAGAGCCCAUUCCCUGCAUUUCUGUGUCAGUGAAGGCAAAGCUAUCUGUGUUUUGAAAUUGUUGCCAUCAUAUAAAUCUUGACUUCAAACUUUUCAAGGUUUGGAAGUAUACCCAUAGGGAAUUCAUAGAUUUCUUGCUGAUUGCUGACAUUAUUUCCCCAGAACAUCAGUGUAUCCAGAAAUAAAUCUGGGGAAGAGCAAAAUCUUUUAAUGAUACCUAUGGGUUGUUGACCUGAGUGACGGUAGUCUUUACACUAUGGGUCAACCUGCCAUCAGACACUCAAGAUACUGAAAAGAAUAAGAAUACUUGUGAGCUCUCCCUGAAGAUUACUGCAUUGUAUGAGAUCGCAUUUUUCAGAAUUAACCUGUAUCAACAUGUUUUCAUUUUUCCCUGUA